CCUACGGGUGGCUGCAGUGAGGAAUAUUGGUCAAUGGGCGAGAGCCUGAACCAGCCAAGUCGCGUGAGGGAGUACUGCCCUAUGGGUUGUAAACCUCUUUUGUCGGGGAGCAAAAGCCGGACGUGUACGGCUGUGAGAGUGCCCGAAGAAAAAGCAUCGGCUAACUCCGUGCCAGCAGCCGCGGUAAUACGGAGGAUGCGAGCGGUUUCCGAAUUUAUUGGGUUUAAGGGGUGUGCAGGGGGAUUUUUUAGUCGGCGGUCAAAUCGUGGGGCUCAACCCCAUCCAGCCGUUGAAACUGGGGAUCUAGAGUGUGCGAGAGGUAUGCGGAAUGCGUGGUGUAGCGGUGAAAUGCAUAGAUAUCACGCAGAACCCCGAUUGCGAAGGCAGCAUACCGGU
rnacentral:rRNA from 1 species